AUUGAACGCUGGCGGCAUGCUUUACACAUGCAAGUCGAACGGUAACAGGUUAAGCUGACGAGUGGCGAACGGGUGAGUAAUGCAUCGGAACGUGCCCGGUCGUGGGGGAUAACGCAGCGAAAGCUGCGCUAAUACCGCAUACGAUCUGAGGAUGAAAGCGGGGGACCGUAAGGCCUCGCGCGAUCGGAGCGGCCGAUGUCAGAUUAGGUAGUUGGUGGGGUAAAGGCUCACCAAGCCGACGAUCUGUAGCUGGUCUGAGAGGACGACCAGCCACACUGGGACUGAGACACGGCCCAGACUCCUACGGGAGGCAGCAGUGGGGAAUUUUGGACAAUGGGCGCAAGCCUGAUCCAGCAAUGCCGCGUGCAGGAAGAAGGCCUUCGGGUUGUAACGUAGCUUUGUUACGGUAGACGAAAGGACGUCUCUCUAAUACAGGGGUUCGUAUGACGGUACCGUAAGAAUAAGACACCGGCUAACUAACGUGCCAGCAGCCGCGGUAAACGU
rnacentral:rRNA from 1 species